AAUACGGAGAGUUUGAUCCUGGCUCAGGAUGAACGCUGGCGGCGUGCCUAAUACAUGCAAGUCGAACGUGAUCCCUAAUUUCGGUUAGGGUGAAAGUGGCGAACGGGUGAGUAACACAUAGCUGACCUGCCCUUCAGAGGGGGACAACCGCUGGAAACGGUGGCUAAUACCCCAUACGCUCGCUCGGGUUAGAGGCCGGGUGAGGAAAGGCUGAGGUGCUGAGGGAGGGGGCUGUGGCCCAUCAGCUAGUUGGUAGGGUAAUGGCCUACCAAGGCGAGGACGGGUAGGGGACCUGAGAGGGUGACCCCCCACACGGGCACUGAGAGACGGGCCCGACUCCUACGGGAGGCAGCAGUAAGGGAUAUUGCGUCAAUGGGCGAAAGCCUGACGCAGCAACGCCGCGUGCGGGAAGAAGGCCUUCGGGUUGUAAACCGCUUUUCUAGGGGAAGAGGGAGGACGGUACCCUAGGAAGAAGUCUCGGCUAACUACGUGCCAGCAGCCGCGGUAAAACGUAGGAGGCGAGCGUUAUCCGGAUUUACUGGGUGUAAAGCGCGUGCAGGCGGUUUAGCAAGUCGUGCGUGAAAGCGCUCUGGCUCAAC
rnacentral:rRNA from 1 species